rnacentral:lncRNA from 1 species
AUGCCGAUCCCUUGCUUCGCGCGCGAGUUUCCCGAUAGGGUUUUUUUUUUGCGGAGUUUGUGUCUUUUUAGCUUUGGGUUCGAUGUUUUUGUUCGAUUAAUCGUUUUGUAGGGAUAAAAAAAAGCCUCAUAACAAUAGGAACGGGAAAAAAAAUUGCUAACCGAAAUGAAUCCGCCCCAAAAAUUAUAAACCUACGCGCGAGUUUGACUCGAAAGUAUGGGGUGUGACAACUUUCUUUAUUGACACGACAGCAAUGUUGGGUCUUGUAUGUUGACAUAUUGAUUCUUUAAUGUGGAGGGAACCCUUAUGAUGCAGUGUCAUUGGCUGAGAAAUCGGCUCUUUUUUUGCAACACAAAUUCCAUCUAUUUAAAUAGCAACCAUGGACGGAUAUCAACCUGAUGUGGAGCUCUCAGAUGAUCCUUAUCAUGAUACCAAGAGACUAAACACAGAGAACAUUCCUUGUGUACUGACUUUGAUGAAGAUUGGAAACCCUUUCCUAGUAGUUCCAACACCUAGAAAUGCUGCAGCUUUUCUGGUAUUAAAAUGAUUACUGCUGUUAGGAAAAUUGCCAGUUGUAAGACAUCAGCUAUGACAUUCUUAAAGAUGGAACUUUUAGAGAAAUAACAUUUAAGCGGUGAUAUAAAUCUUCCAAGAGCUUUACUUAUCUCUUUGUAACCUAGGUUGACUAUAUAAUUUCUUUACCAUCGCCCCUUGUC